UACGUAGGGGGCAAGCGUUGUCCGGAUUUAUUGGGCGUAAAGAGCGUGUAGGCGGCCAUGUAGGUCCGUUGUGAAAACUCGAGGCUCAACCUCGAGACGCCGAUGGAAACCAUAUGGCUAGAGUCCGGAAGAGGAGAAUGGAAUUCCUGGUGUAGCGGUGAAAUGCGCAGAUAUCAGGAAGAACACCCGUGGCUAAGGCGGUUCUCUAGUACGGUACUGACGCUGAGACGCGAAAGCGUGGGGAGCGAACAGG
rnacentral:rRNA from 1 species